CCCAUCGUGAGGGGUGGCAGCGGGGGCAGCGCCUCGGGCGCAACCGCAGGCUCCGGUACCGCUGGUGGAACUCUCGGCCGGCUGCGCCUGCGCGCUCCCGGUUCGGGGCGGGGGGGGGGGGCGGGGGGGAUGGGGAUGGGGCAGUCUGGGCAGGCCCGGAACCGAGGGCGCCUCCUCCCAAGUUCAGCCCAGCGACCCGAGCUAAGGACUCGGGAGUGGCGCGCCACGGAGGGCGCAGCCGAAUCCAGCCACCCAGAGGCUGCUCUGGGCUCCGGGAUCCGGAGCGAGCCAGCGCUGCUCGGGUGCUGCGGGCUCGGCCCGGACCCGGGAGCUGAGGGGUGUGCGCUGGGGUAUCGCCAGGAACUUACAGCGUAGACGCGUAUUAAACCUGAUGGAAAGUCGAGGACUCUCCGGGCUCCGGGUCCUCCUGGCAACUUACGCGCCUUAGGGCUGGGGACUCUGCGGACGGGUCCCGGUCUGUGACCGCAGCUGCCCUUGGAGCAGCCUCCGCCGCGCCUGCCAGGUUCCAAUGUUCCAUCAGAGGCUUUAGCUAAGUUUUGGACGCCUCUCAGAACUCUGGGACCCCGGAUGUUUCGACUCGAUUACACAUGAUGAAUGACCUCUCAUUGAGAUGUUUCAAGUUGGGGAUAUAAUUUUUACAAACUUAAGAAUUAUGUUUAGGAAAGUUAUUUAAUGACAUGGGGAAAUGCUCAUAUUUUUAAAUGGAAAGCUCAGUUUGCAAAAUCACGUAGAAAUUCGGAUGUCAACUGUGAAAAUAAAUGUAUAAAGGCAUUUUAAAAAUGGAAAGAAAUGUACCAAAACAUUUACAGUAGCUAUGGUGAUAGAAAAAUGGAUUUUUGUUUUCUUUGUAAUUUUCUGAUAUCCCAGAUGUUCUACAUUGAGCAUGUAUUUUAUAAUCAGGACAAUGUUGUUUUAAAACUCAAUGCUUUUUGCAUUAGAACUUCAAAGAACUUUUUUUAUUUUAGUGUAAUAGUGCCAAAAUUAACUGCAAAUUAAUAAUAGUAUUCUCUUGGUUUUCUUAGGGGCUAGUGCCAUGACUUUCGAGGCAAGAUUUUACUUAGGACCUUCAGUACAAAAAGAAGUGACAAUAGGGAUGCCCCAUUCGCACCCUCCCAGACCUCCUUCGCCAACCAGAAGAGAAGCAGUAGCACUGACUUUUGUUGACACUUACACAUGCUAGGAACUGGGGUACAAAAAUGAAGAUUCGAAGAUGCAUGUUUCCUGCUCUCAAGGAUCUUCAAAGAUAGAUGUGUCUUAUGUAACAGUUAUGGAGUCCAUUAACAUGAAGCACUAAAGCACAAAAAAGAAAUGAAAGAGAUUUAUAAGCAUAUGAAAUGCCCUCACCAGAGACAGUUGAAAUAAUAAAUCCAAAGUCAAAGGAAAAUUUGUGAAGUUACUACAAGCAGAUUUAUCUACUUCAAAACAUGUUUUGUGGGACUGAAUCAUACCAUCUAUUAUGCUUAAUUUAAAAGGUAAAAUAUACAAAUUGACUCUCAUUUAUUGGUUUAACGAUACCUCACUGUAUUAAAGGAAACCUUACUAUUGUAGAAGAGAGAAAUCUCACUUUAAAUACUUCUCUGUCAUUUGCAUUCUUGGGGAUAGAAAUUGCCUUAAUGAUUUUUCUUUAAAAAUUGGAAAUUUGGGAAAGCUUAAAAUAUUUGUAUUUUUAAGUGACGUUAAAAGACUUCCAGCACUACUGUUUCACAAAAAUACCCAGUUAUGAGCCCAAGCGCUGGUAGCAACUGUAGUCUAGAGGGCAACUUUUCCUUGGCUGCAACUUGAGAUAUAAUUAGUAUCUUCAGAAACAACAUCAUCCCCCCCACCAAAAAAGAAAGUUGACAAAGUAAAAUGGUGGCAUCUAUUUCCUCGUUAAAACAUCAGAUUGACAAAGUCCAUGUACUACUCUGUUUCAAAAAGUUCCAGCUCUUUUAAACACUGGCAUUCUUAUCAUUUUGUGCGUUCAGUGCUGGUCACUGGCUAACAGUGUCUGCAUGGAUUUCUCCUUGAAUAUCUUUCUUCCAUCAACUGAUAAGCCAGUCUCUCCUAGGAUUUCUGGUCAAGAGCACUGCUCAAAAAAGAAAGCUGGUAGUACAUAUUUGAAAUUGUUGCAGACAACAUUCCUUCUCUUCUUGUUCAGUUUGUUUGUUUCUAUUUGAAGGUAAGUCUAAAGGCUACUUACUGAGCUUUCAGGUUGAGAUGGCCCCGGCACCAGAGUGGGAGUUUAAUAUGCUUUCCUUGGAGAAGAAAGACACUGACAUUGUAAAUCUAGCCUGUAUUUGCUGUCGUGGGGCUAAUCCCUGGCCAUAAAAUUAGAGUCAAAUAUAAAAUAAACGGCAAGCCACUGUUUUCACAUCAAUCUAUACAAACAAGCUAAUGUAUUAUUUUGGGAGUGAAAACAAAAUUCUUAAUUGCUCCCUAAACAUGUGGUAAAAUUCCUGUAUGUACAAAUUUAUUUUUACAAUAAAAAUGUUAAAAUUCAAGAAAAGAGAAGGAAAAAAUCAUCAAAGUCCUAAUCUCCCCAAAUAAAUACCUUUAAUGCUUUGUUGUUUUUCCUUUCAGCCUUUUGGUUAUUCUGCUCAUCCAACUUUGCAUUUUAUUUUUUCAUUGAGUUCAAUUAAUAGAAUGGUCUCUGGGAUGUCUUUUAUGAUGAUCUGUAAGUUAUAAGUUUAAAACACGUUUUUGGAAGACAUGAGAUGGUUUACAGAAAUGAAAAACUGUUAAAUAUUGUCUCUCCUGCCACAACAAAAACAUUGUUCAAAAGAAAAGAUUUUUGAAUCUUGUAACCACGGCACAGUCAUUUUCAAAAUACCAACUGAAAAUCGAAUUUGAAAAGAAAGUGGGAAGAAGGAAAAAGAAUCCCCAGCCCAGGCAGGCACAGGUGUGGAGAGUCAUGCAUUUCUCAGGUAAGCCCUGUGCGCUCACCUGCUCUCGGGAUGAUACCAGCUCCUUGCAAACCUCAGCACUCCCUCUGUGCUGCUGCCCCCGACCAGGCCCAGCUUUAAUCCAGCGCCUCUCAACUGGACAGAUAAGAAUGGUGAUGGCUGGGGAAGGGAAACAACUCUGUGCAGGGCUGGCUCUGUCACCAGUAGCCUGAAGGGGAGCGGCCCCUCAGGGCUGCCAGGAGGGCACUUCCCAUCAGGGGUGGCCACACUCAGUCUGUUCGCAAGCAUAAGCCAGGUGAAAGUUUUGAAAUAAGGGAGAAGGGAGGAUUUUUACCUCUCUUUCUACGAGGGGCCCAUCAUAAGCUCAUUUGAAUGAUCUGAAAAGCCCCUAAGAUUUCAUUCAAUGAGGGAGCAUGCCAGAGACACUUGAAAACUAUGACAUUUUCAGUAACAGGAGCCAAUAGAGUCCUUUGAGGCUUAAUGUAGGUCCUGGAAUUCUAGACUCUUGGGGCUUGGAGGGGCUUUUUUUUUUUUUUUUUUUGCGGUACGCGGGCCUCUCA